rnacentral:tRNA from 1 species
GGCCGUGGUCUAGCCUGGUCUAUGAUAUCAGCCUGCCAAGCCGUUUCGAAGCGGCUCGGGAAUUCAAAUCCCGGCGGCC